CACCCAGUGUAAGAGCUCAUUUUUUAAAGCCUUUUCUUCGUGGUCCCUCAGUGCUCCUGGGGAUGUGUCUGGCUUUUCCUGAAGCUGUUUUUAAGCCACUUGUCUAUGUUUUUCUAUCACCUAUAUUCAUAAUCAUGCACAAAACAUCCAGUGAAAUCAUUUUCACCCACAUAGCUCAAAUUCUCAGAUUCCUGAGUGGCCACAGCUUUGCUGUUGUUUUAGGAGGCGGCAUGUGUCUGCCUGUGUUUGGAGAUCUCAGGCAUUUCAGCUGUCUGCUUCGUAAGAACCCCAAAGACCUCUUACACAAAACUGUCUGAAAUGAAUGGUGACAGUUACACUUACCAGCUACAGCAAACUUUACCCAACCUGUAAAAACGUCUAUGCAAAUGCCAAGUGUUCAUACAUUCUUUUUUUAGCAAGCUAUGUUAGCCACGUUUCUCAGUGAGUUAUGCGUUGAUCUGAAACUUCCUUUUUUUGUGUGCUUGUUUAUCCAGCAGAUACGUUAUCUGCUUGACACUUUACUAAUACAAAUACCAUUCAACAGCGGUUUUCAAUCAAAGAUAGAAAAUGUUCCCUCUCUUUACAUUAUUUUUAGAACACUGAUGUUUACUAAAAGUUUAAUAUUAAUCUCCUCUGUUAAAACUAAGAUCAAUUUGUCAGAAGAUGAUUUAACACUUGUGGAGCACUCAUGUUGUUUCCCUGAGCUAGUUUAGUUUUUGUAUAUCCAUUGACCUCUCUGUUGCAGGAUGUGACUCAUUUAUUCUAAACCUUUAAUUCAGGCUUCAAAUCCUUCCCUAAUCAUAAGACAUUGCUUAUGGUAUGAACAAGGUUAUGCCAAGGUUCCUUAAUGCUUUAGUUAGAGGCAGGGGGUGGGUAGCGGCUAGAUGAGACAGCCUGCCAGCUGGUGAAAGAACAGUCAAAGGAAUGAGAGUAAUUUUCACUUGUGAAUUUUUGAAUUACAGGUUUAUUUAUUCUUCGCAGAACGCUGAGUUGGUCGGGUUUGCUAUGAAAGCCUUUCUCCAAGCCUUUGGAGACCACACGUCUCAACAACGCAAAAACUUUGGAAGAAGACAGGCUUUUACUUUUCAAAAAGACAAGAGUGUUUCUCACAAACUGGGGGCUUGUCCGGGAUCCUGUUGCCUUCUGGGGAACCCUGUUACCACUGCAGCAGGAAGGCGUGCUCCGCUGAUUUCACCGGUCCUGUGCCUUGGUGAUGCGGAGAGCUGAUGAAGGAACUGAGACUGGUUAAGAAGGCAGGAUUGGUGAAGAGCUGGGGAAGAAAGGAAGGUAGGCACUCCAGUUUUGAGAAUUGACCUGGUAACUCUGCACAGACCAAGGUAAGAAAUAUUAAAUAUUGCCUUGGGGGUCAGGUAAGACUCUUGUGUGACGUGAUUGAGACGUAUUUCUGUAGGAAGCGAGUGUGGAGAACCCGACACGUGGUUCUGCAGCUCAGCGAGGGGCGAGGCCAGGGGCAGAAGAAGUGAAAGGACCCGUCCAUUAGGAUCAUUAGCUCAAACCCCAACCUUGGAAUUCCCGAUCCAUCCAUUCCGAGCAGGAGAUUGGGUUUUGAUACGAGCGUGGAGGGAAUUGAAACUGCAACCUGAGUGGGACGGACCGUUCCAGCUUUUCUCCACUCACCUUCCUGAUCUAGCGCUUCAAUUUGCCAUGCUGAGCCAAGGCCACGUGGGUUAGA